rnacentral:rRNA from 1 species
GACGAACGCUGGCGGCGUGCCUAACACAUGCAAGUCGAACGGAAAGGCCCUGCUUUUGUGCGGUGCUGGAGUGCCGAACGCGGGAGUGUCACGUGUGUAACCUGCCCUUGUCUUUGGGGGAACAUCAGGAAACUGGGGUUAAUAUAGGACAGGAGAUCCUGCAGCAUGGUGUGGAUGGGAAAGUUGCGGCGGUUGGGGAUGGACGCGCGGUUCAUCAGCUUGUUAGUUGGGUAGUGGCUUACCAACGCACGGACGGGUCGCCGGCAUGCGAGCGUGACCGGGCACAAUGGGACUGAGAUAGGGCCCAGAGUGCAACGUGAGGCAGCAGUGGGAAAUAUUGCACAAUGGGCGGAAGCCGGAAGCAGCGACGUCGGGUGCGGGAAGACGGCUUGCGGGUAGUAAACCGCUUUCGCCUGUGACGAAGCGUGAGUGACGGUAAUGGGUAAAGAAGCACCGGCUAACUACGUG